rnacentral:rRNA from 1 species
GCUUGCUUCCUCUGAUUUAGCGGCGGACGGGUGAGUAACACGUGGGCAACCUACCUUAUAGUUUGGGAUAACUCCGGGAAACCGGGGCUAAUACCAAAUAAUCUCUUUCACUUCAUGGUGAAAGACUGAAAGACGGCAUCUCGCUGUCGCUAUAGGAUGGGCCCGCGGCGCAUUAGCUAGUUGGUGAGGUAACGGCUCACCAAGGCAACGAUGCGUAGCCGACCUGAGAGGGUGAUCGGCCACACUGGGACUGAGACACGGCCCAGACUCCUACGGGAGGCAGCAGUAGGGAAUCUUCCACAAUGGGCGAAAGCCUGAUGGAGCAACGCCGCGUGAGUGAAGAAGGAUUUCGGUUCGUAAAACUCUGUUGUAAGGGAAGAACAAGUACAGUAGUAACUGGCUGUACCUUGACGGUACCUUAUUAGAAAGCCACGGCUAACUACGUGCCAGCAGCCGCGGUAAUACGUAGGUGGCAAGCGUUGUCCGGAAUUAUUGGGCGUAAAGCGCGCGCAGGUGGUUUCUUAAGUCUGAUGUGAAAGCCCACGGCUCAACCGUGGAGGGUCAUUGGAAACUGGGGAACUUGAGUGCA